rnacentral:lncRNA from 1 species
CUAGGAUUUUUAUGUGUAUGGUCAUUUCAAGUGAAUUUUGUAUACAGAGCAAGGCAAUUACUUUAAAACAUGAAAGAAAUUGCAUCUUUUCCUUAAGGGCAAGAUGGUGCUGUAGGCUUUCCUCUCUCCUGAUGAGAUGAUGCAACUGGACUCCAUAGAGAAAUGCUGCCCGUGUAACAAUGCAGUUACACAACCCGGUGCAUGACGCAUGAAUUACAGCACACCUGAGAUCCUGAUGAAAUCCUGGGAGCCUGGAGCUGUCAAACAUGGUUUUAAAAAAAUAAAGGGAAUACACCCAGCCCA